rnacentral:tRNA from 1 species
AAAAAUUUAGUUAAUAUUUAUAACAUUAGUUUGUCAAGCUAAAAUAAUUUUAAAAAUAAUUUUUA